GGAGUACUUUUUUCGUCUUAAAUUGUUUGUCUUAAAUUUUUUAGAUAUGAAUGUAUCUAGUCACGUUUUAGUAUUUUGAUACAUCUAUUUCUAGACAAACUUAAGACAAGAAUUUUGAAACGGAGGGAGUACUUG
rnacentral:pre_miRNA from 1 species